rnacentral:piRNA from 1 species
UACCACCCGUUUCAUCUUUGUGAGAAG